UUGUGAAACAGCCACUUUUAUUUAGAAAGCCAGUUGUGCUGUUCUGACGUACGGGAGAAGGGAGAAAUGAGCAGGUAAAGAUGCACAUGUGCUCCAGCUAAGAUACAUGCUAAAUAUCAACCUAUUUAAGUGGUUGUGAAAUGUUUAAAGACCCUUCAAGGACCAAGGAUAAUUCCCUUAUUUGCAGAACGCAGCCAACGAGUUUUCACGGUGGAUUUGGAGAGAAAGCUACAAAUAAACCAGUUGCAAGAAA